GGAGUGGUAUCGAAGAGGCCGUAACGAGCUUGACUCGAAAUCAAGUUGUCCGAAAGGGCACGUGGGUUCGAAUCCCACCCACUCCG
rnacentral:tRNA from 1 species